ACUAAAUUUUCUUUUACCAUUUCCUUCACAAUGUCUACUUAUUUCUAUGGCUAACAGAUUUUGUAACAUUUGUCUUUUUUACAGUCUUACCAUUGCUUGUAAGCUGGAUUGGGUAAGAUGGAUCAUCUUUAAAGGCACCAGGCAAGUACAUGAUGUACAGUUACAAGUCAUGUAUUUUUUCGACUGCAAUAUUAAAUGCUUUCACGUCACAUGUAAAAGUACACAGGAAUGUGCUGAUCACUUUUUAUUUGUAGUUUACAUGAGUGUCAUUGCACUUUUCAGGAGUUAAGGCAGAUGUGGAGGCACAAUGGGUGACACCAGACACACACCAAGCACAUUGUUCGGACAUUCAAUCAUGACAUGAUCCAUGUGGAUGCUGUCCAUUGAGGAAAGAGUUUGUUCAGCGGUUUCUGGAUAGAAUUAAUUCCAAAGAUGGGAAAAAGUGCACAUCCAGACAAGGAGCAAGUAAAAAGACAAGGAACUUGGUGCAGAGAAAAGCUGUGGCCAUUAACCCCCAUGUGAACAGCUUCAUGCAGUCCCUGAUUGAGUUCGAAUGGACGACUUCAAAGUAAAGGCCACUGUGGUCUGUCUGCCACAGUUUAAUGCAUUUAUUUUUAGUGUUAAAUGAAAUUCAAGUAGAAUAUUUAAAACUAUGGGCCAGUGUUCUUUUUACCACAGUGAAAUGUUACCUUUUAGUCGAUGAUGGACUUUAAACUGAAAACUUCAAACUAUGGAACAGUGUUCUAUUUGCCAGAGUUAAAUAUGUUACAGCAGGGGUCUCCAAACUUGUUUAUACUUGUUGAUUUUAUUUUAUGUUACUUGAUUAUAUGUUUAUUAUUGUUUAAAAUCUUGUUUUAAAUGUUUUGUUUCAAUUAAAUGUUUUUUUAAAUAAAAUUUUGAUACAAACAUUGCUUGGAUUGCCUUUUAAUUCAUUAUGUCAUGUCAAGGAUAGCAUUUUUACCAUAUUAAUAACUAUAGAUUUAAACCUAAAUCUCUAUCUAUUUUAUAUA